rnacentral:misc_RNA from 1 species
CAGGGUCUAACGACUGCCCAAAACCAACCGUGCUCCUUUCCCUUUUUUCUUGCUUCGGUGAUCGCCUGCUGGGGAGGCCACCGGCCGGGCGUCAUGCCUGGUGGUUGCCGAAGCAUACCACUAUAAACUUUUACUUUGCAACGUAUCUUCUGAGAACUUUCUACAAAAGAACAAUCA